rnacentral:rRNA from 1 species
AUUGAACGCUGGCGGCAUGCCUUACACAUGCAAGUCGAACGGCAGCAUGGAGAGCUUGCUCUCUGAUGGCGAGUGGCGAACGGGUGAGUAAAGCAUCGGAACGUACCGUGUAGUGGGGGAUAACGUAGCGAAAGUUACGCUAAUACCGCAUACGCACCGAGGUGGAAAGCAGGGGAUCGUAAGACCUUGCGCUAUACGAGCGGCCUAUGUCAGAUUAGCUAGUUGGUAGGGUAAAGGCCUACCAAGGCGACGAUCUGUAGCGGGUCUGAGAGGAUGAUCCGCCACACUGGGACUGAGACACGGCCCAGACUCCUACGGGAGGCAGCAGUGGGGAAUUUUGGACAAUGGGGGCAACCCUGAUCCAGCCAUGCCGCGUGAGUGAAGAAGGCCUUCGGGUUGUAAAGCUCUUUCGGCCGGGAAGAAAUCGCACAGGCUAAUACCCUGUGUGGAUGACGGUACCGACAUAAGAAGCACCGGCUAACUACGUGCCAGCCGCCGCAGUAA